ACCUGGGUGGCUCAGUCAGUUAAGUGUCUGACUUCAGCUCAGGUCAUGAUCUCGCGGUUUGUGGGUUCGAGCCCCACAUCGGGCU
rnacentral:tRNA from 1 species